UACGUAGGCAGCAAGCGUUUGUUCGGAAUUACUGGGCGUAAAGAGUGUGUAGGCGGUGCUCUAAGUCUGUUGUGAAAUCUCCCGGCUUAACUGGGAGGGUGCGGCGGAAACUGGAGUGCUCGAGUGUGGGAGAGGUAAGCGGAAUUCCUGGUGUAGCGGUGAAAUGCGUAGAUAUCAGGAGGAACACCUGUGGCGAAGGCGGCAUCCUGGACCGACACUGACACUGAGGAGCGAAAGACCAGGGGAGCAAACGGG
rnacentral:rRNA from 1 species